CGCCUGCCCAGCCCUCCUGCU
rnacentral:miRNA from 1 species